AUUGAACGCUGGCGGCAGGCUUAACACAUGCAAGUCGAGCGGUAACAGAGAGAAGCUUGCUUCUCUGCUGACGAGCGGCGGACGGGUGAGUCAUGCCUAUGAAUCUUCCUAGUAGUGGGGGAUAACUUGCCGAAAGGUAAGCUAAUACCGCAUACGUCCUACGGGAGAAAGGAGGGGACCUUCGGGCCUUUCGCUAUUAGAUGAGCCUAGGUCGGAUUAGUUAGUUGGUGAGGUAAUGGCUCACCAAGACCGCGAUCCGUAACUGGUCUGAGAGGAUGAUCAGUCACACUGGAACUGAGACACGGUCCAGACUCCUACGGGAGGCAGCAGUGGGGAAUAUUGGACAAUGGGGGGAACCCUGAUCCAGCCAUGCCGCGUGUGUGAAGAAGGUCUUAGGAUUGUAAAGCACUUUAAGUUGGGAGGAAGAGCAGUUAACUAAUAUUUGACUGUUUUGACGUUACCGACAGAAUAAGCACCGGCUAACUUCGUG
rnacentral:rRNA from 1 species